rnacentral:rRNA from 1 species
UACGGAGGGUGCAAGCGUUAUCCGGAUUCACUGGGUUUAAAGGGUGCGUAGGUGGGUCUGUAAGUCAGUGGUGAAAUCUCCGGGCUUAACCCGGAAACUGCCAUUGAUACUAUAGGUCUUGAAUCUUCUGGAGGUCAGCGGAAUAUGUCAUGUAGCGGUGAAAUGCUUAGAAUAUGACAUAGAACACCAAUUGCGAAGGCAGCUGACUACAGGGGCAUUGACACUGAGGCACGAAAGCGUGGGGAUCAAACAGG